rnacentral:rRNA from 1 species
GAUGAACGCUAGCGGCAGGCCUAAUACAUGCAAGUCGAACGGUGUCUUCGGACAUAGUGGCGCACGGGUGCGUAACACGUAUGCAACCUACCUUACAUUGGGGGACAGCCUUUCGAAAGGGAGAUUAAUACCGCAUAAGACAGUAGCUGGGCAUCCAGCAGCUGUUAAAGAUUUAUCGAUGUAAGCUGGGCAUGCGUCCAAUUAGCUAGUUGGUGAGGUAACGGCUCACCAAGGCAAUGAUUGGUAGGGGAACUGAGAGGUCAAUCCCCCACACUGCGGCUGUGCGACGUGCCGGACUCCGCGGGGAGGCAGCAGUAGGGAAUAGAGGGAAAUGGACGCGAGCCUGCCCCGACCGUGCCGCGUGCGGGAUGAAGGCGUUAUGCGUUGUAAACUGCGUUUAUACAGGAAGCAACGACUCUUGCGACAGGCAUUGACGGUACUGUAUGAAUAAGCACCGGCUAACUCCGUGCCAGCCGCCGCGGUAAGAC